GAGACUAAAACUGAAUGCUUCGAU
rnacentral:siRNA from 1 species